GUCCUCUCAGGGUCGCACCUGGAGAGUUUCCAGUACUUUACCAGUCCUUGUUAUGGGAGGGAGAGUCAAGCAGAGGCCUACCCAUUCCAUUCCUGGCUUGGCCAGUGGCUAGCGAGUGGAAAGCAAUCUGCUACAAGU